rnacentral:lncRNA from 1 species
CACUGAGGAUGCCCUGCCUUCUGCUUUCGGCUCUGCCCUUCAUCCUCUCCCUUGUCUUCCGAUUUUUUGGCUGUGACUCUCAGGGCUGUGGUGACGGGACUGACUCUCUUCUCAGGGCACAGAUCGGCCUGUGCCUGGCAUCCCCUCUAUUUGUGUCUUGGUCUGUGACAUGUCACUGGAUGAGGAGGGCGUCAUGAAGGACUUCAGCACUUCGUGGUCUCUGGAGCCAGACUUGUGUGUGACUCCUGGCUCUUCGUCGACUCAACCCCCUCAGCCGUGAGGACAACACCCCCAGACCUGUUGUAAGGAUGUUUUAACCCA